rnacentral:rRNA from 1 species
UAAUACGGAGGGUGCAAGCGUUAAUCGGAAUUACUGGGCGUAAAGCGUUCGUAGGCGGUUAUUUAAGUUAGAUGUGAAAGCCCCGGGCUUAACCUGGGAACUGCAUUUAAAACUGGGUAACUAGAGUUUAGGAGAGGGAAGUGGAAUUUCAGGUGUAGCAGUGAAAUGCGUAGAGAUCUGAAGGAACACCAGUGGCGAAGGCGACUUCCUGGACUAAAACUGACGCUGAGGAACGAAAGCGUGGGUAGCAAACGGGAUUAGAUACCCCGGUAGUCCACGCCGUAAACGAUGUCAACUAGCCGUUGGGCCUGUAUACAGGUUUAGUGGCGGAGCUAACGUAUUAAGUUGACCGCCUGGGGAGUACGGCCGCAAGGUUA